rnacentral:piRNA from 1 species
UGGGUCAGGAUAGAUCGAUUUCCCAUAU